UGUCCUAUUUUGUUGAAAAGUAUUGUACAUAUAUAUUGUUGUUGUAUUGUUUUCAUAUUUUGUUGUUUGUACUGUUCAUGAAGGACGAAGGACGCAAGCAAAAAGAAAGAGGGAUGUAGUGUAGUGUAGUUGUAUUGUUGUUGUUGUAUUGUUUUCAUAUUUCGUUGUUUGUACUGUUCAUGAAGGACGAAGGACGCAAGCAAAAAGAAAGAAAGAAAGAGAGGGAUGUAGUGUA